UACGUAGGGUGCGAGCGUUAAUCGGAAUUACUGGGCGUAAAGCGUGCGCAGGCGGUUUUGUAAGCCAGAUGUGAAAGCCCCGGGCUCAACCUGGGAAUGGCAUUUGGGACUGCAAGGCUUGAGUGCGGCAGAGGAGACUGGAAUUCCUGGUGUAGCAGUGAAAUGCGUAGAUAUCAGGAGGAGUACCGAUGGCGAAGGCAGGUCUCUGGGCUGACACUGACGCUCAUGCACGAAAGCGUGGGGAGCAAACAGG
rnacentral:rRNA from 1 species